rnacentral:rRNA from 1 species
GACGUAGGGCGCGAGCGUUGUCCGGAUUUAUUGGGCGUAAAGAGCUCGUAGGCGGCUUGUCGCGUCGGCUGUGAAAACCCGUGGCUCAACCAUGUGGUCUGCAGUCGAUACGGGCAGGCUAGAGUCCGGGAGAGGAGAGUGGAAUUCCUGGUGUAGCGGUGAAAUGCGCAGAUAUCAGGAAGAACACCCGUGGCGAAAGCGGCUCUCUGGAACGGUACUGACGCUGAGACGCGAAAGCGUGGGGAGCGAACAGG